rnacentral:rRNA from 1 species
GAUGAACGCUGGCGGCGUGCCUAAUACAUGCAAGUCGAGCGAACGGACGAGAAGCUUGCUUCUCUGAUGUUAGCGGCGGACGGGUGAGUAACACGUGGAUAACCUACCUAUAAGACUGGGAUAACUUCGGGAAACCGGAGCUAAUACCGGAUAAUAUUUUGAACCGCAUGGUUCAAAAGUGAAAGACGGUCUUGCUGUCACUUAUAGAUGGAUCCGCGCUGCAUUAGCUAGUUGGUAAGGUAACGGCUUACCAAGGCAACGAUGCAUAGCCGACCUGAGAGGGGGACCGGCCACCCUGGAACUGGGACCCGGUCCAGCCCCCUACGGGAGGCCGCAGUGGGGAAUUUUCCGCAAUGGGCGAAAGCCUGACGGAUCAACGCCGCGUGGGUGAAGAAGGUCUUCGGUUCGUAAAACUCUUUUUUUGGGGAAGAACAUAUGUGUAAGUAACUGUGCCCCUCUUGACGGUACCUAAACAAAAAGCCCCGGCUAACUCCGU